GACGGACGCGGCCUCUCUCAUCUCACCUGUCUGCCCUUCCCCACCGCGUGCCGACUCUCUCUCCUCUCCUCCCCUCCCCUAUCUCGCGCGACCUAGCUGGAACGCCGCCCCCCGCUGGACGGCGGCUCGGCGCCCCCCCUCCCCUCCCCUUCUCGUCGGAGUUUAAUUUUAUUUUAGGUGAAUAUAAAGGAGGACUGAAAUGGCUGAAAAUUGGGUAGAAGAAGCCUCGAAAAAUGCUUCUGCUCCGACGUCAUUCUCUGGAUCGCCCCCUAGUUGUCAAACCUCUUCGACAAGAAGAUCAAGGCAAAGAAACAUAUUCCAUCUAUUAAGUCAUCGAGAGGUGUCUCCUCGAACAAAACACCAAGCUAAAAGGCAUUGGAAUAAGCCUCCGACUUGCGGCGCUGGUUACAGUGAGUUAAGAUAUUCAGCUACAGAUGCUAAACAUGAUUUAUUUUCGUGGGCAGAAUCACAGUCCCUGCAUCGUUGGUCUGCAAAGUAUUGCCCUCUUAUGCCACCCCCUAGGUCAACUAUUGCAGCUGCAUUCAGUUCGGAUGGGAAAACACUUGCAUCAACGCAUGGUGACCAUACUGUUAAAAUAAUUGACUGCCAAACAGGGAAAUGUUUGAAAGUGUUGGGUGGACAUCGGCGCACACCUUGGGUGGUUAGAUAUCAUCCCUUACAUUCUGAUAUACUUGCCAGCGGGAGUUUGGAUCAUGAAGUCCGUCUUUGGGAUGCUAAUACCUCAGAUUGUAUUGGAUCUCAGGAUUUCCAGAGGCCAAUUGCAUCCAUUGCAUUUCAUGCAAGGGGGGAGAUUCUAGCAGUUGCAUCAGGUCACAAAUUGUUCAUAUGGAACUACAAUAGGCGAGGGGAGUCUUCUGCCCCGACCAUUAUAUUAAGAACCCGCCGUUCGUUGAGAGCUGUGCAUUUCCACCCUCAUGGUGCUCCAUAUCUUCUUACGGCAGAGGUUAACAAUCUUGACUCCGCAGACUCACAGCUGACCCAUGCAACAUCUACUGGCUAUUCAAACUAUCCCUCAGCUUUGUUUUUUGCAAACAUCAACUCUAGAGGCUAUCCACAUCUUGAGUCUAAUGUGUCAUCACCUUGCCUAAUUUGGCCUGCAUUCCUCAGGGAUGAUGGAAGUCUAUAUAUUCCUCGAAAUGACUUGGCUAGUGGUUCAACCAAUGUGCAGCAGAGUUCAUCAUCUUUAGCUCAAAAUGUAUUGGCGUCAGAUGCUGAAAACCAGCAGUCUGACCAGUCUGUAACCCCUAUGGAUGUAUGUCCAGGGGAACCAUCUGCGUCUAGUGAUGUUCAAAUGCCUUCCACGAGCAACAGCCUGCCACUUCCGGCAAUAGCCAGGCCUUCAGGAUCUGCUGUUGAUCGUAUGCCAGUGAAUUCAUUCACCACUAGUGGGUUAGAUGUUCAAAUGUUUCUAAGAAAUUCAGAGGGUGGAAAUCACCAUCACGAUCUCUUCAGUGACUCGCGUAGCUGGGAGCUGCCUUUUUUGCAUGGUUGGUUGAUGGCCCAAAGUCAGACAGGUGCUUCUUCAUCGAUACCGAUUCCCGCUGGCAGUACUAGAGGAUCAAAUCGACACUACGCCUCACGCCCUCAUGCUUCGGCCUCUGUACCAGGGGUUGGGAAUUCACUUCUGGGUCCACAAAUCGAUGAAGCUGAGGCUCGUGCUGCGUCCUUAGGUGUUGGAUCAGAACUUGCUACCUCACUGUUUUCUGCCGGCGCUGCUGAAUUACCUUGUACAGUGAAGCUUAGAGUAUGGCGGCAUGAUAUCAAGAAUCCAUGUGUUGCAUUAGAAACCAAGGCAUGCUGCUUGACAAUCUCUCAUGCCGUUCUUUGCAGUGAAAUGGGUGCCCAUUUCUCCCCCUGUGGACGAUUUCUGGUGGCUUGUGUUGCAUGUUUGCUGCCUCAAACAGAAGGUGACCAGGGUAACCAAUUACCUGUGCAGUAUGAGUCUACAGGAGCUGGAACAUCACCAACUCGUCACCCACUUCCCUCCCAUGGAGUGAUUUAUGAGCUUCGGGUUUAUUCUCUUGAGGAGGCAACAUUUGGAGAAAUUCUCACGUCCAGAGCAAUAAGAGCGGCUCAUUGUUUAACGUCCAUUCAGUUUUCGCCUACUUCAGAACACAUACUGUUGGCAUAUGGACGUCGUCAUAGCUCGCUGCUCAGGAGCAUUGUUAUGGAUGCGGAGACGACUGGAAUUCCUGUAUAUACUAUCUUAGAGGUUUACCGAGUAUCGGACAUGGAGCUGGUAAGAGUUCUUCCUAGUGCUGAAGAUGAAGUCAAUGUUGCAUGCUUUCAUCCUUCCCCUGGAGGUGGUCUUGUUUAUGGGACUAAGGAAGGGAAGCUCAGGAUCCUACAACACAAUGGCGCAGACGCUGCAAGCAUGGGGCUGAAUUGCUUUAUCGAGGAAAAUAUGCUUGAGGUUCAGAGGUAUGCGUUGGAAGGCUGAAUGAUCAUUUGCGUCAUGAGCUUAUAUGUGUCCUUCCCUGGAACUUUUGUCUGCAAGCUCCAUUUUUGUUUAGGAGAGCCUCAUGGACUAAAUUACAAGAUAUCAUCAGGGCCUCCGACUAAAUCUUUCGAGCGGCAGAUGAUUCUCCACGAGUUUGUUCAAGUGCAAUGUACUGAUCUAUUGCUGGUUUCCAGAGAAUGCUGUGGGCCGACUCUAAUCGUGCAUCGUUUUGCAACUUUUAACUCAGGUCUGUGCACAGGCGGUGUGAUGAUGUAAAUUUGGCAUGGUCAUCGUUGCUGUCAAGUUCCCACGACCCUGUAAUUAUAAAACUGUACAUGUAAUCUCCAAUCAGCUUAAAACAACCGCUGUUGUAUUUUAGAAAGCUCGCAAUCCUAAUCCUCAAGUUUCUUUUACGUGGGAAAUGUUUGUACUAUUUCUGUCCUGACCAAUGCCAGUGAUUUGCAUUAACAAAUCUUUGUAUUGUGUCAACGUUAUUUGGUUCCCUUUUUUGCUUG
rnacentral:rRNA from 1 species